AACUUACAUUCAACGUAAGUUAGGCGGACCCUAACUCUAUAGAGCAUAGGGGGCUAGAUGAAAUUUAAGGAAGAAUUCCUUUUCGAAAAAAAAUCAUCAUAAAAUAAAAUCCUCUUAAGAAUAUCCUAUGAUAAAAUCAUCAUAAUGAUGAAAUUCAAAGAAAAAUUCCUUAAAGAAAACUCAUCACAAGAAAAAAAAGUCUAAUUUUUUUUUUACUUUGAAAAUUUUAGACUGGGGGGGGGGGAGUGUUUGACCAAAAAUAGAAUAAGCCCAGUUAGGGUCUAAAUAUAUCCAGUCCCUAUAAAGCCCAUGAAGAGGUCGAUAAAUAUUCUAGGGUAAAUAAACUAGGUGGCAAGGGUUCAAAGCCCAAAAAGAGUCAAGGUCUUAAGUUUCUGUCCUAGGACAAACCACCUAAGAUAAAUCAACUAGGUGUCAAGGAUUCAAUGGGCAAAAGGUGCCGAGAUUCUAUGCUCUUAUCCUGGAUAAACCUCCAAAUUUCCUAUAAUCCCAAAGUCUUAGUAAAAAUAACCUAAGGAUAAAACGUUUCUUCCUUUAAUCCAUAAAUAAGUUUGCAUACCCAUGUGUCAAUCAACAUGGGCACUAAAAGACCAGUGUUGAAAAAUAUCACAAGAACAAUGACACUUGUAUCAAAGUAAUUAGGACUCAAGUCAAAUCAAUUUCGCCUUUAAAUUUGUUUCUCAUUCUCACUAAAAGUUAUGAAAAAAAUUGAUUCAAGAGGGGAAAUGAUGAUCUUCUCUCUCUAUUUUUCUCUCUCUUUAAAUUUAUAUUUUUAAAGAUCCGAUGACUGACUUGCUUGUCAGAGGGUUUAAGCCGACAAAGCCGGCUUUUUGAUCUUUUUCUUGUGUUUUUCGAGUUUCAUUGGACAAGGAAAUUCUCAUUAAUUAAAGAAGAAAACUGAGAUGAGGAGAUAUAAAGUCCCAUUAAGAUUGGCCCAAAGAGUAAACUCACCAUCAUCAAAUCCAACAAGAGGAACUCAAAUACUAAAGGGUUAUCCUUAGUUAGAAUUUCUAUAUGAAGUUGCCAAUGGCUCAACCGCCACCCACUUUGUGAUGUAAUCAAUGGCAACUAUAGCAAACCUUACUUGCCUUUUUCUUUUUAGAUCAAUCCCUCAUUGGGCAAAUGGCUAAGGAAUGGGGAGAUGAGUUAACUACUUUGGAGAUUGCUUGGGUAUAAUAGUGAAACUUGGCAUUUAUUUUACUUUUUUGCUAGCUCCAACGUAUCUUGUUGCAUCGUCGGCCAAAGGUAUUCUUGUCUCAUAGCUUUGUAGGCAAGUGCUCGUUCUUCAAAAUGAUUUCCACAUAUCCCCUCAUAGAUUUCACGUCGGACAUUAUCUCCAUUUUUGGGUGUUAAACACUUGAGAAGAAGAAGUGAAUAUCCACAUUUGUAAAGUUGAUUAUCCAUGAUCACAUACUUUAUAACUCGGUAUCUCACCUUUUUUUUAUUCAUUCUUGUUCUCAGGUAAAGUUCCAUUCAUAAGAUAACUCAUAAUUGGGUCUAUUUAGGAACUUCGAUAGUCAACAAUUUCCAAUUCAUUUUCUUCGAAUUUGAUUAUGCCUGGCUUGGGAAUGAUAUCUACUAGAACUAAUUUUAGUAAGUCUUUUUCUGGUGAGAAAUCCAGUUGAGCCAAUGCAUCAGCUCGUGAGUUUUUCUCCCAAGGAAUUUGCUUUACCUAAUAAUUAAAGUCCCUUAACAACUCAUUAACUCAAUCAAGAUAUUCAAUCAUGUUGAAAUCUCGAUCUAUACAGUUGCAAUUCACUUGAUUAACUACCGAUUGAGAGUUGCUAAAGACAAGUAAAUCAUUUGCAUUUAAUGCCCGAACUAGCCUAAGGCCAACUAGAAGAGCUUUAUACCCUGCAUCAUUGUUGGUAGCAUUGAAGCCAUACCUAAGAGCACAUCCGAUCUCAACAUUGUCUAGGGUGAUUGCUAUAAACCCUUCUCCACAUCUUAGUUUACUAGAGGAUCCAUUGACGUAAAGAGACUAUUUAUCUUGAUAUUCUUUCUUAGGAUCAAGUGAUAUUAUCUCUCCUUUAGUAAAAUCAGUAAUGAAGUUUGCCACUGCUUGCCCUUUUAAUGAUGUCCUAGGAUGAUACAAGAUGUCAAACUCUCCAAGCUCAAUAGGACAAUUAUAGUAUGAGCCUGGAAAUAAGGGCUUAGCCUUUUUGCUGAAACAAUAAAGGCUAGGACAAUAUUUUCAAGACUUAGAUACCUUGUUUUUUCAUCAACUAUUGCUCUACAUAUAUAGUAUCUAGGUCUUUGCAUUCCAUCAUCUUCUCGAAAAAGGACAGAGCUAGUGGCAUGUUCAAACACCGCAAGAUAGAGUAAGAGGGACUUACCUUAGAUUGGCUUAAUGAUAAGUGCAUAUUUUCCAUAUAUUUUGCUAUUAAUUUCUCUAUCUUUUUCUUAUUUUGGUCUUAAAUGUUUUAGUUAUUUUAGUUAAUUUUUAAUUUCGUAAAUUAUAUUUUAUUGUGUUAAUUUUUAUCAUAGUUUUAUUUAUUUUGUUAUUUUAGAUGUAUUCUGGAAUUAAAGAGAAAUUAACAAGCCAAACCAUCACAUGAAAGCAAAAUUGGAAAACAAAGAUUGCAAACCAAAAGUGGCCAGCACGUGAAAGGAAAGAGAAUAAAGCCUUUUGGGUUUAGGAAAUCAUGGCCAAAUCAUUAUUGGCUUAUUACUUGAAGCAUGAAAAUGGCGGUUUUAGGCUUUGGAUUUAAUUCUUUCCAUGCAAGGAUUUAAAAAAAAAGCCACAAUUGAAGCAUUAUAAAAAGGAUUAAGCGGAAGCAACAUGGAGGGAUUUUGCUUUUGGCAGCCAAGAGGAUUUGAGGAACCAGCAGCCCCAAGAAGGGAAAAACAAGGGAGAAAUCGAAAAGGAAUUGAAGAAAAAGGCAGCCGCUUGAAUUAAUCUUCAUGAUUGGUUUUGUCAAUUCUCUUAUUCCCAAUUCAAUUAUGUUAAGCUAGAUUUUUAUUUGGUUGAGAGUGAAUUCAAAACCCCGAACAUGUCACAUGAUUAAUUUUUAAUUUCUAUCAUUCAAUUUAUUUAAUUGAGAUUGUUUAUGUUCUUCUAUAAUUAAUAUUCAUAGUUUAUUCUUGUUUUAUUUGAGUGGCCAAUUAGAUAGGAUUUGAAUAAAUUCUAUUACUAGAUUAAAAUUCUUGAUCCGUAAUUGUCUUGAUAUUUUAAUCAUUAAUAGCAGGUUGGAAUCAGUUAUUUCAAUUGGAGAAUAUAACCUAGGUUAAAUAAUCCGAGUUUGUGUGUUUAUUGCCUAGAUCAACCUAAUAUCUUUCUCUGUUUAAUGCUUCCAUUAUCUUAAAUUUAAAGAGCUUGUUUUAAAUUAUUUAAUGAUUAGAGAUUAGGUGAAGAGCUUAUUUUGCCUAACGACACACUAAGGAAAGAUUGAGACUAACAGAGCUUAUUGUUGUCUAUGGUUGAUAGUUUCAAUAUAAAUUGAUGAUAGUAUUGAUAUAUUAUGUGCAUGUUUGGUGGUGGCGAAUGAUCCUUUAACCAAAGUUUUCAUAAUUAUUAUUUCUUUCUCCUUUAAUUAGAGUUUUUAUUAAAUUAUUGUUCAUAGUUUUAAUUUUUUUAUUUCUUACUAUUUAGUUAAAAAUUCAUAAACCCCCCAUUUAUUUACAACUAGAAAAUAGAGCUGCACUUCGCGCGGUUUUGAAAAAAGAAUUUAGUAUUAUUCUUUUUUCUUACUUUACACUUGAU
rnacentral:lncRNA from 1 species